CAGUCAUAAAGAAUCAAGAGAACCUGAGCCCGAGCGAACAAAACGAUGCUCGGCCAUUUACUUCUCAGCUUCAACAGUAAACGGACGUCUUUGAUUUGCAAAGGAGUUUAAUUUUUUUAAAACAUGCUUUUGCAAAGAGAUAUUUAUUUUAAAAUAACUAUUUUCUGGAAACUUGAUGAUCCUUCCUGACAAAAAAACCACGUGGCCCGGAUGGACCAGAAAAUGGAACCCAAGUUUUAAAUGAGCGAUGAAGCUCCAAGAUGACUAUCCUAGAAGCCAAUGCUCCAGAUAUGAAACCCACCAUCUGCUUGAUGAAUAAAAUCUACUGAAUGAUGGCAAAGCAGUACCUAUUUGAUGGUUUAACGGUUUAGUUUACGACUGCUGAAUUACAUCAUCACGUCAUAUAUUUUUUAAAUAUAUAAUCAUCUCAUGUAAAAUUUUAAAAUAUAUUUUUUAUUUAUAAAUAA